rnacentral:lncRNA from 1 species
CAAGAGGGCAACCACUCCUGGUACUGAAAGCAUAGCUACUUACCUAGGGCUAGUGAACUCAUGGAACUUACAGAACUUAAAACCACCACUUUAUUAAACCAGCACAGUCCCUAACUACAUCCCAAACAUUUUCUUUAAUACCCACAAAUAAGUGUAGUUCUUACCCUUCAACCUCUCUUUUCAGCAGAUGGAAACCAUUACAGAAAACCAUCACCAAUUAAAAUGCAAUUUUGAUUGCAUUUGAUUGCAGGGUUCAGGAUUCAUAGUUCUGAAAGGCACCAUGCUUGCUGUUGGGGGAGAACUGUCACCAACAGUCAUAUUUGUCUAUGGAACUGACACACUAUAGUAUCAAUAUGGGGGAAAUUAACAUCUAAAAUGAUGAAAUGGGAAAAAUCUGCGACUGACAGAAGCCCAGGAGGAAAAUACACAGACAUCUACAUCACUGCCUACCAGGCUCAGAGAACAUUUCAGAAGAGGGAGCAGAAAAAAAGUGUAAGAGCCAGAGGAUGGUUGGGAUGUUGCUCAACUUGACAGUUCCCCUGAAUUGAAACAUUCUCUUCUAAAAGAAGAAAGCUCGUACAACUCAGGAAGGAACUGAAACACGUGACCCAGGACACUCCUGAAACAUUCCGAGGCCCUUUGCCAAAGUUUUAAAAUAAAAUUGUAGGGG